CGAACGUUGGCGGUAUGCUUAACACAUGCAAGUCGUACGUGAAAGCUUCCUUCGGGAGGCAAGUAAAGUGGCGCACGGGUGAGUAACACGUGGAUAAUCUACCCAGUAAUCCGGGAUAACAUCUCGAAAGAGAUGCUAAUACCUGAUAAGCCCACGAUCUCUUCGGAGGACGAGGGAAAAGGUGGGGACCUUCGGGCCUGCCGUUGCUGGAUGAGUCCGCGGCCCAUUAGCUAGUUGGUAGGGUAAUGGCCUACCAAGGCUACGAUGGGUAGCUGGUCUGAGAGGAUGAUCAGCCACACUGGAACUGGGACACGGUCCAGACUCCUACGGGAGGCAGCAGUGGGGAAUUUUGCGCAAUGGGCGAAAGCCUGACGCAGCAAUACCGCGUGAGUGAUGAAGGCUCUCGGGUCGUAAAGCUCUGUCAGAGGGGAAGAACCUCCUGUCGUUUAAUACGCGGCAGGCCUGACGGUACCCUCAGAGGAAGCACCGGCUAACUCC
rnacentral:rRNA from 1 species